rnacentral:lncRNA from 1 species
GGGGUGGGCAGAACCCACCAUGGGAAAAGCUGGAGUCAGGGCUGAGGGAGGAGAGGCCUCUCCACCCGAUUCCCCAGCACCCCUGCUCCCCUUCCUCCGGGGCUGACUCAUUGUUUUGCAACAAACAGCCGGCAGCCAGGUCCCAGCAGUUUCUCAAGCCUGGCCCCCAGGCUGGCUGGGCUCAAUCCUGGCCCUCCCAACUGCCUGGCCAGGCCCUGAACGAUUGAGUUAUCUCCACUCGCAUCCCCUUUGUUUGGGGCGGCUACUUGCCCACUCAAGGUAAACAAAUUCUGGGCCUGUGUGAAAAGAAAGGAACGGUUAUCUCUGAGGCCCUCAGCGGCCUGGCUGGGGAGCAAGACUUUCAGAGGCUUCUGUCUCCAAAGAGAGGAGGGAUUUCGGAGCAUAGCGUCCAGAGGCCAGCUGCCUGGGUUCAAGCUCCACCUCGGCCACUGACUGCUGAUGACCUUGGGUACAAUGGUGAACGACACAGACCCAAUCCCUGCCCUGGGAGAGUGAAUCAUCUAGCAACGGAGACAAAUAUUCAAUACACACCCAACGCAUAGUU